rnacentral:lncRNA from 1 species
GCGAGAGGCGGGUGGCGGGCGCGCGGGUCUCCCCGCGUCCUGGAUGCGGACUCCAAGUAAUCGGCGUCCCCUCCUUGUGGGAAGUGGAUGGAUCUGCAGGAGCCAAAUCUCUGGUAGUGACGAGUGAGCGAGCCAGGCUCUCGGCCUUUCAUCCUGUCCGAAAUAGAAGUCUCUUGGGCCUCUCCUCGGACUGCCGGCUCAGAAGACAAGUGGCCUGAUCCGCAGACCUUUGGAAGAAACACAAGAGCAGGUUUUGGGGCUGGUGUCUGUGGAAAAUGCGUUCACUUUAGGACAUACUGAGCCUGAAGUUCAGCUGAUGAAAGGAGCAGCUUGAGAAGGCCUUCACUGUGGAAUUUGGCUUAUGAGAUUUGAUACAUGCUCACUGCAAAAAUGAAAUUAAAAUCUAGAAGUGUGUAAUAGAAGAAGUAAGUCCUCACUCUCAUCUUAUAACGCAGGCCCUCCAGGACCAGUUCAACUGACCCCAUCUCUUAUCAACAGAGUGAUUAAGAAUUGCCUUUCAUCUCCUGCUGGACACUGGCCCAGCCUUGCCAUGGAAGUCUUCCAGGAAGCCCCAUGUUGAGGAAGGUGUCCUCCUGCUGGCAUUUCCCACACUGUUGGAUCAAUCAUUGUAUACACAUUUGUUUCUUCUUCAUGUAGACUUAUACAAAAUACAUGCCUAUUGAACUUAAUAAAUGCAGAAAAUAUAAAAAUCAUAAAGUAAACAAUGACAAUCCUACCUUUCAGAGCACACUUUUUGGUGUAUGUCCUUCUGUUUCUUGCUCUAUUUGUGUAGAUACCAAGCUGAGUUCAUACUGUAUACUUUUCCUUUAAAAUAUUACUAUUUUCCUAUGUAAUUAAACGUUCUUUGAAAUGUUUAUAUACUAUGCCAUCAAAUAGGUAACCAAUUUUCUUUAGUUUGUUUCCAUUUGUUUGUAG